AAACUUUCAACAACGGAUCUCUUGGUUCCGGCAUCGAUGAAGAACGCAGAGAAAUGCGAUAACUAAUGUGAAUUGCAGAAUUCAGUGAAUCAUAGAGUCUUUGAACGCACAUUGCGCCCCNUGGUAUUCCGGGGGGCAUGCUUGUCCGAGCGUCAUU
rnacentral:rRNA from 1 species